rnacentral:rRNA from 1 species
UACGUAGGGGGCGAGCGUUGUUCGGAAUCACUGGGCGUAAAGCGUGCGUAGGCGGUUAUGAAAGUUAGGAGUGAAAGCCCAGGGCUUAACCUUAGAAUUGCUUUUAAAACUACAUAACUCGAAUCUCGGAGAGGAUAGCGGAAUUGUCAGUGUAGCAGUGAAAUGCGUAGAUAUUGACAGGAACACCAGUGGCGUAAGCGGCUAUCUGGACGAGUAUUGACGCUGAGGCACGAAAGCGUGGGGAUCAAACAGG